rnacentral:rRNA from 1 species
UACGAAGGGGGCGAGCGUUGUUCGGAUUUACUGGGCGUAAAGGGCGCGUAGGCGGCUAUUCAAGUCAGGCGUGAAAGCCCCGGGCUCAACCUGGGAGGUGCGCUUGGGACUGGGUGGCUGGAGUUCGGGAGAGGAGAGUGGAAUUCCUGGUGUAGCGGUGGAAUGCGCAGAUAUCAGGAGGAACACCAAUAGCGAAGGCAGCUCGCUGGGACGGUACUGACGCUAAGGCGCGAAAGCGUGGGGAGCGAACAGG